ensembl:lncRNA
AUGAAGAAGAUGAAGAAAUGUCAGUUGUGGGCGUUUUGUGUCCUUAAUUUGGGGGAUGAAAAGGAACACCUGUCAAGCAGCAAAUCCUGUCAGCAAACAAAACCGACACCUCUAGGCAAACAAAUCCGACAAAAACUAGGUCUCCUCUCUGCGGCAGAAGGACAGUCUCUGUUGUGUUUGUUGUGCUCGCGGUGUGUCUGCGCAUCUCUCACCUGCUGCUCCUCCAGACACUUCUUCACACUCAGAUCUGCUGGAAAGGUAAACCUGUUCUGACAUUUCUAAUUAAGAAACUACACAGUGCUUGUGCUACUAGCUGUUUGCAGAAAGUGUUUGGAGGAGGGACUUGCUCUAGAAAGUAUUUGAUUGGACAAAAUUUGUGUAGUGCAGUAUGAGUUAUAAAAUGUAUGAUCUGUGAAUGUGUACAUUUUACAUGCGUUUGUUAAAAGCAUAAUUUCACAAGUAUAUAAAUAGCCUUAAAGCUAGUAGACAUGAGCUGAAAGCCACAACACAGUCAUAAAAUCUCAACCACGUAUUUUCAUAUGAUCAAGUGUAUUAUCAUAUUAUUGUAGUGUUACUGUAAUGGACUGUAUUCAUGUUUGUUAAUAGAGUAAGCUGUUUUUUUUUUUUUUUUUUUUUUUUUUUUGUGGAGCUCUGAUGUUCUUUUGCUGCCUUGUGUCUUUCCUACUUCUAGCUGUGAUUGUCAUAUAUGAGUAGAGUUUAGCUCUAUUUCAAUGGCAUUUUAUGUAAAACUGCAUUAACAUUUCACACAGUGUUGACGUGAUAAUCAGGAUCUGCUCCGCCAGUGUCACUGUCUGUAAAUUAUUCCAGAAAAUAGUGUUGAGUGUGAGUUUAAGAGGGUUUAGGUACAAAACCUGGACAAACAUUGUGUCAGUGCAAUAAUUAAUGAUGAAAAAAGUGUUGUUGAUAGAACCAGGGUGAUGCUAACUUGCAGGUUGGCCUGCAAAAAUAUAUCACUUCUGAUCUGUACACACAAAAUAUGAUGCAAUCUGAAAUAAAUUUAACAGACAGUGACCGGACA